rnacentral:sRNA from 1 species
CUCGCUACGCCUCUUAACAAUGCGCACCCUGGCGGGU